GGCCGCGUGGCCUAAUGGAUAAGGCGUUGGUUUUCGGUUUCCGCCCACCAAAGAUUGUGCGUUCGAAUCGCAUCGUGGUCG
rnacentral:tRNA from 1 species